GAUGAAGUCCUUCGGGAUGUAAAGCCCUUUCGACGGGAACGGUAAUGACGGUACCCGGAGAAGAAGCUGCGGCUAACUACGUGCCAGCAGCCGCGGUAAUACGUAGGCAGCAAGCGUUGUUCGGAGUUACUGGGCGUAAAGAGUAUGUAGGCGGUUGGGUAAGUUUGGUGUGAAAUCUCCCGGCUUAACUGGGAGGGUGCGCUAAAGACUGCCUGGCUUGAGUGUGGGAGAGGAAAGCGGAAUUCCUGGUGUAGCGGUGAAAUGCGUAGAUAUCAGGAGGAACACCUGCGGUGUAGACGGCUUUCUGGACCAUAACUGACGCUGAGGAGCGAAAGCGUGGGGAGCGAACAGGAUUAGAUACCCUGGUAGUCCACGCCAUAAACGAUGAGAACUAGACGUUGAGAGGGUAAGCCUCCCAGUGUCGAAGCUAACGCGAUAAGUUCUCCGCCUGGGGAGUACGGCCGCAAGGUUG
rnacentral:rRNA from 1 species